rnacentral:rRNA from 1 species
GAGGCAAUAACAGGUCUGUGAUGCCCUUAGAUGUUCUGGGCCGCACGCGCGCUACAAUGCUAGGUUCAACGAGUCGAUUUCGUACUUGGCCGAGAGGCCUGGUUAAUCUUCUGAAAUCCUAGCGUGCUUGGGCUUGCCUCUUGCAACUAGAGGCACCAACGAGGAAUUCCUAGUAGACGCAGGUCAUCAACCUGCAUCGAUUACGUCCCUGCCCUUUGUACACACCGCCCGUCGCUUCUACCGAUUGGGCGUCCCGGUGAACAAUCGGGAGGCCGCGCUCAUGGUCAGCAAUGGCCGGAGCGCGGUCGAACCUUUGUAAAUUUGGACGCCUAGAGGAAGAAGAAGUCGUAACAAGGUUUCCGUAGGUGAACCUGCGGAAGGAUCAUUAGCGUUUGUUGGUCUUGGUGCCAUUGCGAAAAAAUGUGGAUCGUGGGCUAGAGAAGAUGACCCUGGGGGGUUUUUUGUUGCGAAAUGUCUUGGUGGCUGAUGGAAUAUUGACAAAUACAAUUACAACUCUUAGCAAUGGAUAUCUUGGUUCCCGUAACGAUGAAGAACGCAGCGAAAUGCGAUACGUAAUGCGAAUUGCAGAAUUCAGUGAAUCAUCGAAUCUUUGAACGCAAGUUGCGCUUUCGAGAGCCCUCGGAAGCAUGCCUCUCUGAGUAUCGGUUUCCAUAUCUCACACCUGGUGUGGAGAAUGAGAGUCGCUGGUGCGUCUCUUGAAGUCAUAGUCGGGCACAAGUCCAUCGGAUUCUUGGAACGAUAAUCCGCCAUGGCACACCGGAACCAUACACAAGAUCUCAGAUGAGGUAAGACUACCCGCCGAAUUUAAGCAUAUCAAUAAGCGGAGGA